UUAUUUUGCCCAGACAGCUUUGCAUGCAAAUAUUCACUGACAUGAGCAGCUGGUCUGGACCAAGGUUUCUGGUUUCUGAACAUAAGUACUGGACCAUCACUGAAGUUCGUCUUGGAUAUUCUGCUGUUGCCAGAGUCAUGGUGACUCUGUAGCUCCGGUUCUGCAGGACUGGCUCCUUCUAAUGUUCCACCACUCAAAUCUGUUGGGGUGGACCUACGGAAAGUGCUGGAUCUGGGCCCAGCUGAGUUGGUGAGCCGGUGGCAGGCCUGGCCUUGUGGUUAGUGGGGCCUGGGCUCUAUAGCUGGAUCUUAUGUAGGUAUUUCCUCAGUUGAGGCUCCCUCCUCUCAGAUGACUCUAGCUUGUGUCAAGUUGACAUAAAACUAGCCAGGACUUUUUUUCACACUUUUAAGACAGAAUUCCAAUAUGAGUGCCUUCAUCAAUUGUCCUUGAUAUCUGGCUGUCCCUUGCCACAAACCUAAGCUGGAUUAAUGGUCUUAUCUGAUAUUUCUAAUCCUCAGAGCUCACAAGUGUCAUUUUUCUUCACAGUCUGGAGAGCAAUGUGUUUUCUAUGUGUUUUUACCUCUUCUCCUAUCUUCUUUUGGAUGUGAGGAUUCCUAGUAUAGCACACCUAGAAGUUAUUUAAUACAUUUGUUAUUUUAGUACUAAAAUAAAGGUAAACAUGUUUUCCCCUGACUUUUAUGAUUUUUCCUCCUGAUUUUUAAUGUUAUUUAUCAUAAUACCCAAAUGCCUCAUUCACGGUUGGUGUUUAAUACAUACUUUAUGGUUGACAAAGUUUAUAGAUGCUGUUCUCAUGGAGCAUGGUCUUUGGUAAAAUGAUCACACUGGGGAGAAAAAGUUCCUAAGGUUUAAAUAUGGAGAAAGAUGGCUACGAGAAAAGCUUCACGAGUGAGGUUGUCUGGAAACCCCAUUAGCAUUCUAACCAGCUUUGAUAUUGUAGGUCACACCCUGAGUGUGUGAGCUAAGAAGAUGACCUAGGUCACCCCGAAAUGUUCACAUACUAUGUAAUGAGAUGGUGUUGACCUGGUGCAGAAGACUGGCAACUUAAAGAGAACCCAAAGCACCAGCAUCAGCAUCAAAUAUCUUCCCAGUAGGAAGAGGCCCGUGAAUCCUCACCAGAUGCUAUGACCUUCAUUUCAUGCCAGCUCUCCUCCAUGUUUGAGCCCCCACUCAUUCUGUUCUUCCCACCCACAGUGUUCUUACUUUUCCCAUUGCCUGCCUGGCCUCCUCUCCCCUCCUCCCUCCAGGGCCCACAUCCCACUUCUUUGUUUGGAUUUCUCUGUACCACUGUUCCCUGAAAUCAUCACCACACCACACUUCCGUGUGUAAUCUCACUCCUCCAGUAUUAAAUGUGCCUUGAAUUGCUUUUAGUGAUGAGAUGUUUUUGAAAGGCUCUUCUGAUGUCCUGUUAGGUACCAGCACUAGAAAAAGGUAAACGUGGGGUAAAACUGUUGUUGGUGGUGCCAUGGAGGAAGUUUCCAGGCUGGUUUCCUCUAGAAGAAGACUCAGACUAUGCGUAAAGCCUUUCCUGUGACUCUGAAGGGCUAGUAGGGGUUCUUUGUGCAUUUUUCCCACCUUUCUGGCACUAGUUGAUAUUGGACCUGAGCUUGGGGUGGAGUGGGCGAAGAUUGGUAAGGAUCAAUUUGGGAGCUGCGACCCUUCCCCCUUUAACCACACAGGGCUCAUCUCUGAUGGUUUGGUGUGCUGCCUCUUGAACAGAGCCUGCCGCUGGCAUUAGCAAUGCUGCUUCCACCUCACUUGGACUGAUUCCUUUGCUUCAAACCCAGCUACCUGCACUCCAAUAGCUUCCCACUGGGAGGAUCUGUCUGCUGCCGCUGUUUCCCAGCAACCCCCAGCUUUGCCAUGCCACUCAAGCUUUAUACCAGGUCAUCCUUAACACUUUCUCACCUGUCCUCCCAGGCAGAGUCGAGGCAUGCCUGUCAGUGAGACACACUCUCCACCUUCUGGCAGAUGGAGUCGCCAAGAGCAACCUUCAUGGAGGCGUGCCAGGGAGCCUGACAGGGAGAUUCCCUGACUACAGCUCCUUAGGCAGGUGCUGAAGAUGACAGAUUUGCUGAGUGGAGGCCCUCUCUGCUGCUGGAGGGGUGGGCUCGAAUGCACGAUUUUCACCCCAAGGGUCACUGCACUGUCAGGAAGCCUUAGCUUCUCUAAUAUUUCCUUAAGCAGUUAUUCCUAGAUCUGAUGCCACUCCCCUCCCCCAAGGUUGUUGUCUUAGUCGUGGUUUCCAUUGCUGUGAUAAAGCACUAUGACCAAAAAAAGUUGUCAAGAAAAGGAAUUAUUUCAUCUUAUUCUUAUAGUCCAUCAUGAAAGGAAUCCAGGGCAGGAACUCAAGGCAGGAACCUUGAGGCAGGAACUGAAGCAAGGGUCAUAGAGGAACACUGCUCACUGGCGUACUCCUCAUGCUUGAUCAGCCUGGUUGUUUGUUUGUUUGUUUUAAUAUACCCCAGGUGUUUCCUGCUUUGGGAUGGUAUCACCCACUGUGAGUUGGGCCCUCUCACAUCAAUCAUUAAUCAAGAAAAUGUACCACAGAUUUAUCUCCAGGCUAAUCUGCUGGGGUCAUUUUAUCAAUUGAGGUUCUCUCUUUCAAAAUUACUCUGGUUUGUGUUAAGUUGACAUAAAACUAUCCAGCACAGCCCUUUGGGGCAGAAAAUUAUCAUCUGUUCCUUUUGUGAUUCCUUUACUGAGGGUAGCUUUUACUCCCUUUAGCUGUGGCAUUCAGUUUAUUUUAACUGAGUUGAUGAGGUUGUAACUGGGAGGAGGAGAGGCUUACAUAGUUGUCAGAGGUUGUAGUAUGAACGGCUAGCAUGUUUUCUGUCCAUCUCCUUCUAGUGUGUGGAUCCUGGGGAUUGAACUUGGGUUGUCAGGCUCAAUGGCAAGUCUCUUAUCUCUUGGACCAUCUAUCUUAUAGGCCCCACUAUACUGAUUUUUAUCAUGGUAUUCCUAGUGUUUAACAUUUUUAUGUUCUUUGAGUAAACUCUAUUUAUGAUACAAUGAUGCAUUUUUUAUAGUAUUCUGUAUAUUCUCCUUACUGGUAUUUUAUAGGAAUAUUUUGUAGAUGUUUCACAAGUAAUGUUGGUCUGUAGGUUUGUUUAUAUGGCAUCUUGUAAUGUCAAUGCUAUAAUAUACUCUAUAACGUUAUAUAUUAAAAAGAAUGGUUUAAAAUAACUUAAUAAAUACAGUGAUUAUAUGAAACAUAGAAGAUCAACAUGAUCAUUCCUGGGACAUCUAGACAAUUGAAGACUCACUACCCAUUUUUGGCAUUUGUAUGAUAGCUUCAGUUUAGCUUCUAGUGGGUGUUUAUGGCAAGCACAAGCGUUUUGCUUUUUAUUGCACAUUUGUAUUCUUACUGAUACUAUAAUUACUUUUGUUGACUUAUUUUAAUUGGUGCAUACAAUUGUACAUAUCUGGAGCUGGAAGCGUGACUAAGUUAGUAAAGUAUUUGACUUGCAACUGUGAGGCCUGACUGAGUUCAGGCCUCAGUUACCACAUAAAAAUGUCAGGUGUGAUGGCACCUGCUGGUAAUCCUAGUGCUGGAGAGGCAGAGGCAGGAGGGUCCCUGGGCUCUCUGACCAUCCAGUCCAGCCUAACUGAUGAACUCCAGGCUAAUGAGAGACCCACUCCUGAUGGCAUUUCUGAUGAUGACUCCUGAGGGCUCUCCUUUGACCUCCAUGUAUUUGUGCAUAUACAUGCAUACACACAUGUACCCACAACGUGCAUAGGAAAUUGUGUGUGUUUCUAAAAUAUCAUGUGAUGUUUUAACGCAUGCAUGAACUGUGUAGUGCUCAAAGCAAGGUAAACAAAUUGCUAUCUUCUGCCGAGUCUUUAUUUAAACAGUCGAUUGUAGAAAUUACUGAGUGUCCACCCAAGUCCAGUUUUCCUUCUUUUAGUGAACAUUGCUUUUGCCAGCCUGAUUGAAAGCUAGGCCCAGCCAUGUGACUGCUUUCAAAUAAUGACUAGUAAUGGAAUCGAUGUACACCAGUUUUAGCCUAAGCUUUGACAGCUUCCCAUGCCCUUCUUGUAAAUCAGCUUUUGUUCCAGGUUGGCACUUGUGGCUAGGCAACUGAAAAAUGCCACUUCUCUGCUCCCUUCAGGAUUAUGAGGAGAAUGCCAGAAGACAAUGUGAAAAGAAAACAGGCAGGAAAAAAAUCAGAAUGAUCAAAACCAAGGCUGUUAUCAUUCUUAUAGGAAAUGAGUAACGGAAUCUGGUUUGAGGAGGGCCUCCUGCUUUCACUUGUUAAUUCAUGCCUUGGAGAAAAUUCUGCACUUCUGUAAGCCACAGUUUCACUUAUGAUGAGGACAAUAACUACACUAUGGAGUUGUUGGAGAAAAGAAAACGUGAGAUAGCACGUCUAAAACUCGGCACACAUGCUGACCCUCACUAAGGUAUGCAGUAAGAAGGACCAGAUCCUAUUUUGAUCAGGGUAGACUUGAACAUUCUAGAGAAAUGCUUUCUAAUUCCAUGUCUGUUAUGACCAGUGUUAGUUAAGUGGCAUAAUAUACUGAAAAGAGAAUUGGAAUCAGAUUAUCUGAGGUUUAAAUUGCAUUUACUUAUUUACUUGCUUACUUUAUUUGUGUGUCUGUGUGUUUGGGUGUGCACACAUAAACACUAGAAUGCCAUGCAGAGGUCAACGGACAAGUUGUGGGAGUGUGCUCCUUAACUCCAUCAUGUGGGUUUUCAGGGAGGAACUCAGAUUUUCCGGAUUGGCAGCAACUCCCUUUACCCACUGUACACGGUGCUCUCACGGACCCAGGUUACCCAGAUUUUAUUCCCGCAUUUCCUAUGUGUUAGCCAAUAGAUGACUCUUAACGCGGCAUCCGACCUGCCUUGCCCGGUCCGUUUAUCUGAAGAAUAAAUGAUAAAUGCUGCCUGUCUGCACUACAGUGCUGCUGAGUAGUUCAGAGGUGAAAAUGCAGUUUAAACUGCAGGGCAAUUGCAGACCACUGAUACCUAAGGGUUAUGCCAAAAGCGGUGUGGCAGAGUGUUUCCUGUCAAGAAACUCUUUGGGGGAUAGUGUCCGUAUGGCCCACGAGUGUGUGUGCACCAUAGUCUUUUUGGUACCCACCACUAAUGUAGAGUCUGUGCAUGAAUGGAGUAGCCUGCAGCACUUUCGUAGGUAAUGUACCACGUUCUCCUCCCUCAUUCUCUCUUGUCGUCAACCUCUUUCACUCCCUCACUUUCUAUUCCCAAACAGCCUCUUCCUAUCUUUAUGUCUUUUUAAGUAUCGAGAGUCCACAUCUGAAAGCAAGAUAAUUUCAUUCUCUAGAGUCAAACAAUCUUCAUUGUUUCCACACGGCAUGUUUUCUUUAUCCAUCCAUCUGUUGAUGCUCACCUGGGCUGCUUCCAACUUGGCCACUGUGAAAAGGCUGUGUGAAACCAGGCGCAGGGAUCCCCGUGGUGCACUGACUUCGGCUGUUUUGGGAACAUACCCAGGAGCAGUAUGGAUGGAUAAUAUGGCAGUUUUGUUUUCGUUGGCUGGGAAAACCUCCAUACUGGUCCCCAGUCGCCAUCCCCGUUUACACACCCACCAGCAGUGUGUAAAGGUCUUCUUUUCUCUGCACUCUCAUCAGUAUUUGUUGUUUUCUGUUUUCCCGAUCACAGCUCUUCUGACUGAGGUGAGGUGAUGCUAGCUAUACAUUCAAUCUGCAAUUCCCAAUAGCUAAGGAUGGUGUGAAAACGUUCAUGUAUUGAUUGGACAUUGUAUUUCUCUGAGAAGCAUCUGCUCAGUUCAUUGGCCUGUUUAUCGUUUGGGUUAUUUGUUCUUUUGAUGGGUAAUUUUUUUUUCAUUUGUUUGUUUUAGACAUUAGUCCUCCAUUUGGGUGGAUAGCUAUCUAAGAUCUCCCUUUCUGCAAGCUGUCUAGAUUCUGGAAACCGUGUCUAAGAUGCACAGAAGCUCUUUAAUUUGACACUACUCGAAUCCUACGCAGAACGUCUUGGCCCCGGUGCCUAUAUAACCUGGAGUACUUUCCCCUGCCAGUUUCAGGGUUCAGAUCUGCAUUAAGAUCUUUGAUCUAUUUGAAUCUAUUUUUGUAUAGAGUAAGAGACAGGGACCUAGUUUCAUUCUCUCAUGUGUGAAUACCCAGUUUCCCCAGAACUAUUUAUAAAAGAGUCUGGCUUUUCUCCAACAUGGCUCCUGUCUCUUUGUCCAGAGUUAUGUAGCUUCAUCAGUUUCUUUCCGGGUCCUCUGUUCUAUUCCAUUGAUCUACACUGUGCUCCCUCUACUCCUUGGAGGUACCCGUAUCUCAGAGAUCUCUCUGUCUCUGCCUCUGUCCCCACACCCCCUGCCUCUGGUUCAGAUAAUUUUUUCUUUGAUGACUUUUCUAGUUUUUUUCCCCUACCACUUAGCUCUCCUUUGCUGACCUCAAUCAGUAAAUAGAAAUGCCAGCAAACAUCCUAAUGACCAUGGAAUGCUUCUGCAUUUGAACAGAAAAUAAAAAAUUUAUUUGCCUAGCAAGCUAUUCCCAGGCCCUCUGAAUAUCAUCACCAAUUUGUAAGUAGAAAUGAUUUGUAUUAAUAUUAACAUGCAAGUGAGAGUAAUUCUAAGUGCCGGCUUCCUCAAAUGCGGCAUCUUGGCUGUCUUCAUGAUCCUGUCUUCUUUUUGCUCCUGCUAGUUCUGGUAAAGUCUCAUUACUAAUAGUGUGCAUCUGAUGUCAUUCUUGAUGGAGACAGGCUGCAUGCUUCUUCCUAGCACCAGGAACACCUUUUUCUUUCAACAUUGUCCCAAAUGUUCUAGACAGUGUUUUAAAGCAAGAGGUAGUCACAUUGGAAAGAAGUGAGCAGAAUUAUUUAAUUCGAUAUAAUAUUGUAAUAUAUGUGAAAAAUAUAAAACCGUCUACCAAAAUAGUUUCUUCAUAUAAUUACCAGGCCAGAGGAUUGUAUGGGGCCAAUAUGAAAAGGCAAAUGUAUUUCUAUAUACCAACAAUCAGCCAUGUUAUAUAUUAAUCAAAAAGAAGAGAAUUACAAAUUAAAAUCCUAAAGUUAAGAUUUUCUAUUUGUCAAAGUAUAGCAUUAAGAGAGUGUAACCACUGGUGGUUGUAGCACCCAGCACUCAGGAGG